GAGGAAAACACAAAAACAUUCAGGUUGACUAGGGUUGCCAUCCAUCCCCUAAAAUACAGAAUUGUCCUUUAUUUGACAAUUAUUUGUUGCGUCCCAUAUUGAAUCAAUAUGGGUUGUAAAUUGUUCCGUAUUUUCAGAAAUGUC